rnacentral:rRNA from 1 species
UUUAUUGGAGAGUUUGAUCCUGGCUCAGGAUGAACGCUGGCGGCGUGCCUAAUACAUGCAAGUCGAGCGAAUGGAUUAAGAGCUUGCUCUUAUGAAGUUAGCGGCGGACGGGUGAGUAACACGUGGGUAACCUGCCCAUAAGACUGGGAUAACUCCGGGAAACCGGGGCUAAUACCGGAUAACAUUUUGAACCGCAUGGUUCGAAAUUGAAAGGCGGCUUCGGCUGUCACUUAUGGAUGGACCCGCGUCGCAUUAGCUAGUUGGUGAGGUAACGGCUCACCAAGGCAACGAUGCGUAGCCGACCUGAGAGGGUGAUCGGCCACACUGGGACUGAGACACGGCCCAGACUCCUACGGGAGGCAGCAGUAGGGAAUCUUCCGCAAUGGACGAAAGUCUGACGGAGCAACGCCGCGUGAGUGAUGAAGGCUUUCGGGUCGUAAAACUCUGUUGUUAGGGAAG